rnacentral:misc_RNA from 1 species
AAGUCGUAACAAGGUAACCGUAGGUGAACCUGCGGUUGGAUCAUUACUGAAAGGCGUUCGUUCGUUUCCUACGUUCGUUCCCACCCUUUGUGAACCGUUGUUGUCCCUGGCGGCGGGGUGCGCGUGGACCUUGGUCCCCGGACCCGUCAGCUUGUUGGGUCGUCUCCCCCUCGGGGGCCCGGCCCACUUGCCGUGGACAAACCGCCAAAUGUGUCCCGAACCUGCUAGUUCAACUUUGCCGUCUUAAUAUACACCUGGUAUGACAAAUACCUUAACAACUUUUGGCAACGGAUCUCUUGGCUCUC